rnacentral:snRNA from 1 species
GGAUGUGAAGGCGAUCUGGCUGCGACAUCUGUUACCCCGUUGAUUGCCAGGGUUGAUCCGGCUGAUCUGGCUGGCUAGGCAGGUGUCCCCUUCCUCCCUCCCUGCUCCAUGUGCGUCCCUCCUGAAGCUCACGCUCGGUCGAAGGGGACGACAUUCCCGCUAGAGGAGGACCAGUCUUCGGUCAAGGGUAUACGAGUAGCUGCACUCCCCUGCUAGAAGCUCCAAACUAGCUCUCAAGAAUGAAAACAGCUAUUCCACAUCAACAGGAAGGAAAAACGUGCAGGUGUAGCCAUUUUAAUGUCAGAUAAAGACUUAACACAAAAACUAA